ensembl:lncRNA
AUGAAGAGUAGGUCAGCAAGGACUAGUGCCAAAUGCAGGAAGAGGAGGAGUCAUUUUGUCCAAUCUUUACUUUGCAACUGUUACCAAUGGGUUCUGUGGGUGAUUUCAGAAAAUGAACAGAAGAUACAUCAGAUCUCUCCUGUACUUUGCAGAAACCACUGCCUAUGGACUUGCAGUAAACAUUCAAGUGAUUCAAGCCUCUUUAAGGACUGUGAAUUUCUUGUGAAAAAUUCUUGUCUGAAACCUAUUUUUCUAAAGAACAGUUUUCUGGGACAUCUUUCACCCAACAUCUCAUUGCUCAGACUGCCACAGAUAUUUAAUGUUUUUACUGAGAUGACAGCAGUAAAGCUGCAGUGUCAAUCAUGUGCACCGAGACGACAAAUCUAGACUAAAUUCGUGUUCCUGUAAGCCUUCCAUCACUCAGAGAUUAUACAAAUCCAAACCUUGAUUUUUCCAGCAUCUCAGACUUCCAUAUUCACAUUCACUGGAUAUGUUGUCUGAAAACAUCUGAUGUCUUUGUGUUCUUGAAGUUACUGAAUGUUAAGGAAAACCUGCCUUGAGUUUUGGAGUUAGACCAACACAGAGAAAAACAAUUCUGAAGAGCAUACUGAAGAGCAGCUGUGAAAUCACUUUGUUCCCUUCCACAGUUUAUUUCAGUUUAUGUAAAAUGAGCAGUAUUGAUAUUGUUUUCCAUAAUCAGUAUUAAAGAACUGCCUCCACUUGAGCACAUAUUUCCCCUUUGCAUCAUCCCUAUGACAUUCUCAAUGAUAGAGUAAAACAUUAUUGCAGCUUGGAAGAGGAAGAAUGCUUCAAGUCCCAAGUGACAAUGAAUUGUACAGAAAAACUUGCGCUGUGCCCUUACCAUAACUCAAUCACCACAUUUUUUGUGAGACAGUAGUUAGGUUAGUUUAUCUUUAUUUGAGGAGACUAUGAUAGGAUUUACUGAAAAAGCCAAGCACUAAGGAAAUAGUGAGUGGCGACUCUAAGUAAAUGCUAUUAGUGUGUGUUAUGUUAUUAAUUGCAAACUAACAGUUGUAACAAUCUCAUACAUUUUUGGCAUAAAUAUUAAUAUCCUUAGAAUAUUACAUAUAAAACACCUUCAGACUCAGCCUCCUUGCUUCACUAAAUCCACUAGCUACGGUAAAAUGGAGUUAGAACUGUAAGAAUUGCCCAUGUGAGGAACUGCAAGAACUUCAGUUACGAGGACUGCUCCGAAAAUAAUGCCUCUUAUUUUAUUUUAUUUUUAUUUUUAAUGAUGUCAGAGGCUGAUGGUGGUGGUAUGGCAGUAGAGGUUGAACCUUCCUACCGGUAUUCUAUUAUAUUUUGUUGCUAUGUGACAGAUGGCAGCAGAGGGGCAGUCUGACAAAAUGGCGUCUGGCAUGGAAAUGCAUAUAAAAGUAUGAAACUGAAUUCCUCCAUGUGGAAAAAAUAGCACCCAUUGACAUUCACUGAUGCUUGCUGAAGCUUUAUGGAGACCAAAGAGUGAAUGUAUUACUUUAGUCAUAACCAGACAAGCCAAAAUGAGCUUGAAAGCUAUUCUUGCUUUUACCUCAAACAUUCCUUACUGGUUUAUAGGCUUAUAUUAACCUCACCUCAUGCAUAACCAGUCUGCUGCUUUUUCACUAGAUUUAAUUUGUAGUCCCAGUCUGUCUUUAGAAUGCUUUGAUGCCUUUUAUGUUCAAGUCUUAAAACAUGCAUAGUCGGUCUUCAUGGUGUAGUUAUUCUGAAAACCUUCCUUGAUAUCUUUAUAUGAUUAAGAAUAAGAAAAAAGAAAAAAAAAAGCUGUAAAUUCUGCUUUAGAAAUAUUUGUACUGAUUUUUUCAGACAAUGUUUCUGCAAAUUGCUCCUACUGACACCAGAGAUUGUAUUUUCUCUCAGAAAACAUGAUUUUUUCUUCCUGUUCAAAUUUGCUUGUAAUGCUCCAUAACUUUGCUACAGACAUUCUCCCUUAAGCUAUAACUGAUAUCAGGAUUUCUCCUUAUGUCAGUAGUGGCUAUGGUAUUGCUCAGAAAAAUUAUGAGAGAAACAAAGGAACUUAUUAUUCUUUGGUCAGUUAUCUUAACCAGGUGGGCAGAACAUCUGGUUCAUCUCUGUAGGGACAUUUCCUUUUAUUCAUAAAAUAUUUCUGACAUUUUGAAGUCCUUAUUGAGCAAGAAGCAUCAUAGAAUCACAGAAUUGCAUGGGUUGGAAGGGACCCCUACAUCUAGGCCAUCUAGUCCAACCUUCCACAAGCAUUGAUUGAAACAGUACAAAAGAAGUGCUCUUCCUAGGCAGUUUUUGUCUUAGUAAAAGUAAACUUCCAGGUUUUUAGAAUAAGUUUUUUGUUUUUUGUUUUUUUUCUUAUACUUCAGUGUUAUCUUUUAGACUUUGCCCAAUCUUAUGUUUCUCCUAGGAAGAAGAAAAAAGGUCUCAUAAAGUUACUGACUGCACCCAUUGGUAAAAACAAAAAAACAAAAAAACAUGGAGGAAAUAUUUUAAGUGUCCUUCACAUUCUCUUUCACUAUUUAAAGUUCUGCAAAUUACUUAUUAACUAACAGAAAAAGUAACUGGAUCACUUCAGUUAAAAACAAACAAAUAAACAAAAAACAAACAAAAAAACCCC